GGCGAACGGGUGAGUAACACGUGGGUGAUCUGCCCUGCACUUCGGGAUAAGCCUGGGAAGCUGGGUCUAAUACCGGAUAGGAGCCAUUUUUAGUGUGAUGGUUGGAAAGUUUUUUCGGUGUAGGAUGAGCUCGCGGCCUAUCAGCUUGUUGGUGGGGUAAUGGCCUACCAAGGCGGCGACGGGUAGCCGGCCUGAGAGGGUGGACGGCCACAUUGGGACUGAGAUACGGCCCAG
rnacentral:rRNA from 1 species